GAUGAACGCUGGCGGCGUGCCUAAUACAUGCAAGUCGAACGCUGGAAAUCUAGCUUGCUCGAUUGAAGGAGUGGCGAACGGGUGAGUAAUACAUAAGCAACCUACCCACGAAGACUGGGAUAAUCUCUGGAAACGGGGACUAAUACCGGAUAGGUAAUCGGAAGGCAUCUUCUGAUUAUUAAAGGUUAAAAACACUGGUGGAUGGGCUUAUGGCGCAUUAGUUAGUUGGUGAGGUAACGGCCCACCAAGACGAUGAUGCGUAGCCGGCCUGAGAGGGUGAACGGCCACAUUGGGACUGAGACACGGCCCAGACUCCUACGGGAGGCAGCAGUAGGGAAUUUUCAGCAAUGGGGGAAACCCUGACCGAGCAACGCCGCGUGAGUGAUGACGGCCUUCGGGUUGUAAAGCUCUGUUGUAAGGGAAGAACGGUAGAUAGAGAAUAUCUAAAUGACGGUACCUUACCAGAAAGCCACGGCUAACUACGUG
rnacentral:rRNA from 1 species